GGAUGAAUAUUGCGCAAUGGACGAAAGUCUGACGCAGCCAUGCCGCGUGCAGGAUGACUGCCCUAUGGGUUGUAAACUGCUUUUGUACGGGAAUAAACCCUUCUACGUGUAGGAGGCUGAAGGUACCGUAAGAAUAAGCACCGGCUAACUCCGUGCCAGCAGCCGCGGUAAUACGGAGGGUGCAAGCGUUAUCCGGAUUUAUUGGGUUUAAAGGGUCCGCAGGCGGAUCGUUAAGUCAGUGGUGAAAGCC
rnacentral:rRNA from 1 species